GACGAACGCUGGCGGCGUGCCUAACACAUGCAAGUCGAGCGGAGGGGAUAGGAGCUUGCUUCUUGAACCUUAGCGGCGGACGGGUGAGUAACACGUGGGCAACCUGCCUCUAAGAGGGGGAUAACACAGAGAAAUCUGUGCUAAUACCGCAUAAAGCUGUAGCUUUGCAUGAAGAGACAGCCAAAGGAGAAAUCCGCUUAGAGAUGGGCCCGCGGCGCAUUAGCUAGUUGGUGAGGUAACGGCUCACCAAGGCGACGAUGCGUAGCCGACCUGAGAGGGUGAUCGGCCACAUUGGAACUGAGACACGGUCCAGACUCCUACGGGUGGCAG
rnacentral:rRNA from 1 species